AGCAGAGAUAGAAAGAAAAGGAAAUAUACGAGUUAGGAACAAAGUAAAUAUAUACAUAGGGUAUCCAAAGGCUCAAUCGUUGCUUCGAUCUACGCGCUUUUCUCUCCCUUUGAAGGCGAUUUUCAGAUCUAUCGUUUUCGCCUAUGUUUGAUCUUCAUCAAAGGUUUUUAAUCUUCUGGUUUGUGAUCCAGGAGUGAGCAAGGGCCUUUCUUCAUCAGCGGCGUUGUGGAUUUCUCCACCGAUGUAGUCGAAGAUCUGGUUUGACGGAGGAGGCAAUUUGAAUUUGAGGUUCCCGGUUGAGGACGUCGUGGAGUGUUUUAAAGAUCCCCAAGGCUCAACCGUACUUCUUGUUGCAGCGGCUAUGGCAAACGUUAGUGGUGAUAAGGUGGGUUUCGAUGUUUUGAUGCAGUGGUUAACGACAGCUCCUCCGGAUCUGCUUGGCUGGCGUGGAGUUUGUCUUCAGAGGUUUGGGUGAGCUACCACCCUCUGGAUGAGUCGCGUUUGGUUUCCACCGGUCCAGUCGAAGUGUUCCUGCUCGGUCUAAUUGAAGAGAUCUCGAGUAGGAAGGAUUGGGAUAGACCUAAGUGGGUCAGGUUGCUAGGUCGGGACUUGACUCCGUAGAACCGUCUGUCAAGGUGGCUAGCUUUCCGAAAGAUAUCUGACGGAUGUGGUCCGUCAGCGGAAAGAGAUUGUUAUUGGAAACCAGACUCUUCCAGCAUUUUUUUUCGAUCUUCCGAGGCUACCGAGAAGCUGGGUAUAUCUUGGAUCCGCCGGAUCUAAGACUCUUGUUACUUUGCUGACGACCAUCAGUAGGGUCUGAUCUUUCUUUUCUAUUUCCAGUGAGUGUCUUAGUUUGGAUUUUUUGGAACUGGGUCAUUACUUAUAAGGCUUAAAAUUCUAGCUCAAUUGGAAAAAUUCUAAUAAAAUUUAUAUUAUUAAAAUAUAUAUAUAUAUAUAUAUAUAUAUAUAUAUAUAUAUAUAUAUAUACAUGGAAUAUUUCUUAAUAUGCCCACUCAAUCAAGG
rnacentral:lncRNA from 1 species